UAAAAAUUGAAGUAUGUUUGCAAGACCAUUUACCUCAACCUGCCUCACCGGUUUGUUCCACGGGUCAUCAUCAAUAAUCAAGCUCUUGAGGACUACCAAGACUUCAUGGCCUAUAUAUGCGAAGCCUGCAAAGGAAAUACUGCACCAGAAGCUUGCAGGCCUACAAUGGCUCGACGACUAGCAAUACCUGGAAAACACCAAUGCUGGCAAUCAAGACUGGUGUGGAACUCCAAAAAGAAACUCAACAUUUGAAACGCUGGCAAGGAAGGAUCUCAAGAUCAAACCAGCCGGAAAAUUAGAUACUAGAGACAAUGGAGAAGUUUCUAAUUUGUAAUAACAGUACUAGAAGAUAACGAUAAGAUGAUGCUAACAUUAGUUCA